GACGAACGCUGGCGGCGUGCCUAAUACAUGCAAGUAGGACGCAGUUGCGAACGGGUGAGUAACGCGUAGGUAACUACCUAUUAGAGGGGGAUAACUAUUGGAAACGAUAGCUAAUACCGCAUACUAGUAGAUGGACCUGCGUUGUAUUAGCUAGUAGGUAGGGUAAUGGGCUACCUAGGCAACGAUACAUAGGCGAGCUGGGCAGGUGAGGCGACACACCUGGGAUGAGACAACGGCCCAACCCCUACUGGAGGCAGCAGUAGGGGAGCUUCGGAAAUGGGGGGAACCCUGACCGAGCAACGCCGCGUGAGAGAAGAAGGUUUUCGGAUCUUAAAGCUCUGUUGUUAAGGAAGCGGUACUUAACCAGAAAGGGACGGCUAACUACGUGCCAGCAGCCGCGGUAAUAC
rnacentral:rRNA from 1 species